AUUGAACGCUGGCGGCAGGCCUAACACAUGCAAGUCGAGCGGAUGAAGGGAGCUUGCUUCUGGAUUCAGCGGCGGACGGGUGAGUAAUGCCUAGGAAUCUGCCUGGUAGUGGGGGAUAACGUCCGGAAACGGGCGCUAAUACCGCAUACGUCCUGAGGGAGAAAGUGGGGGAUCUUCGGACCUCACGCUAUCAGAUGAGCCUAGGUCGGAUUAGCUAGUUGGUGGGGUAAAGGCCUACCAAGGCGACGAUCCGUAACUGGUCUGAGAGGAUGAUCAGUCACACUGGAACUGAGACACGGUCCAGACUCCUACGGGAGGCAGCAGUGGGGAAUAUUGGACAAUGGGCGAAAGCCUGAUCCAGCCAGGCCGCGUGUGUGAAGAAGGUCUUCGGAUUGUAAAGCACUUUAAGUUGGGAGGAAGGGCAGUAAGUUAAUACCUUGCUGUUUUGACGUUACCAACAGAAUAAGCACCGGCUAACUUCGUG
rnacentral:rRNA from 1 species